AGUCGAGCGGUAGCACAGGAGAGCUUGCUCUCUGGGUGACGAGCGGCGGACGGGUGAGUAAUGUCUGGGAAACUGCCUGAUGGAGGGGGAUAACUACUGGAAACGGUAGCUAAUACCGCAUAACGUCGCAAGACCAAAGAGGGGGACCUUCGGGCCUCUCGCCAUCAGAUGUGCCCAGAUGGGAUUAGCUAGUAGGUGGGGUAAUGGCUCACCUAGGCGACGAUCCCUAGCUGGUCUGAGAGGAUGACCAGCCACACUGGAACUGAGACACGGUCCAGACUCCUACGGGAGGCAGCAGUGGGGAAUAUUGCACAAUGGGCGCAAGCCUGAUGCAGCCAUGCCGCGUGUAUGAAGAAGGCCUUCGGGUUGUAAAGUACUUUCAGCGAGGAGGAAGGCAUUGUGGUUAAUAACCGCAGUGAUUGACGUUACUCGCAGAAGAAGCACCGGCUAACUCCGUGCCAGCAGCCGCGGUAAUACGGAGGGUGCAAGCGUUAAUCGGAAUUACUGGGCGUAAAGCGCACGCAGGCGGUCUGUCAAGUCGGAUGUGGAAUCCCCGGGCUCAACCUGGGAACUGCAUUCGAAACUGGCAGGCUAGAGUCUUGUAGAGGGGGGUAGAAUUCCAGGUGUAGCGGUGAAAUGCGU
rnacentral:rRNA from 1 species